rnacentral:tRNA from 1 species
UAUGAAUUAACCAAGAUUAGGUUUUAAUUUCUUAAAUUAAAUACGAGUAAUACGGUU